GUUUUUAAAAUGUUUAUGUACAUUUUAGAAAACAUUUAAAGUUUAAACUACACCAAAUAUGUUUAUAGUAAUGCACAGAUAUUAAACACAUAAAGGUUGAAGGCUAAUACACUGAAAUAGCCGAAGAUAAAAGCAAAAUUAUUAAACAAUAGGGUCAAUAUUUUCCAAAUUUUUCAUCAAACAGGCCAAUUAAAAUGUCAAGAUUUCUUUUGAUGCCAGCCAACUACCAGAUAUCUAUUUUAUCAGAUGAAAUUUUCUGUCAAAAGAGUCUCAAUAUUAGAACUGUCCUAGUUAUGCAAGAAAAAUCUGGGCAAUUACUGGAUGACAAGCUUGGUUGGUGGAACUGCAGGACUAACCAAUGUCUUAGAAAAUGCUAGUGCUACAAACACAACACUAAAUUGGAGAUAUUGCUGGAUGUCGUCAUGUUUCAACUUCAGUAUUCCAGUAUUUCAUUCCAAUGUGGGGGGAAAUGGAAUCAAUGGGUAGAAAUGGUUUAUCAUUUUCAGUUAGUAUUUCUUCCGUAUAGAAAACAGAAUUUCUAAGAAUGUCUGCAUUGUGUUAAAAGUAUAAACUAAAAAUAUAAGCUGUUCCAACUAAAGUUGCCUUUGCAAUUGACUGAUGUGAUUUUGUCAAUGCCAAUAUAUUCAACUGAUGCUCCAGAUGUUUUGGGAUUGGAUUAAAGGCAAUUAGUACUGGUAUUAUCUUUACUUUCUUUUGCCAGCCAUUCUGUUUGUAGGUUUUUGUAUUUUGGGGGGGAUUUUCUCCAGUUCUUUCUCUCCUAUUCUGCUGUCACCGGGUACUGACAUGUCCACUACCUAGACUUGUUUCUUAUCAACAAUUGCUAAGACUGGGGUGUGCCUGUCUGUUUGAAUUCUAUAGUCCCAGAGCACUAUAGAUUCAUUUACUAUUUUUUAGUCCAGUGGCUCUCAAUCUGUGUCUGCCGGCUCCUGGAGAUCCACAAUGUCGUCAGAGGGGGUCCACAAAAAUUUGAAAAAUGAUAUAAAUUUCAGUUAAGUCUUGGUGGUUUGUGGUCAUGGUCCAUGGCCACAAUAGGUAUUUAAAGGGGGUCCGUGGUGAAGAUUUAAAAAACACUGCUUUAGUCUAUUUUGUG
rnacentral:lncRNA from 1 species